rnacentral:rRNA from 1 species
CCAGACUCCUACGGGAGGCAGCAGUGAGGAAUAUUGGGCAAUGGGCGCAAGCCUGACCCAGCAACGCCGCGUGAAGGAAGAAGGCUUUCGGGUUGUAAACUUCUUUUCUCAGGGACGAAGAAAGUGACGGUACCUGAGGAAUAAGCCACGGCUAACUAUGUGCCAGCAGCCGCGGUAAUACAUAGGGGGCAAGCGUUAUCCGGAAUUAUUGGGUGUAAAGGGUGCGUAGACGGGUGUUUAAGUUGGUUGUGAAAUCCCUCGGCUCAACGGAGGAACUGCAACCAAAGCUGGAUAUCUUGAGUGUCGGAGAGGAAAGUGGAAUUCCUAGUGUAGCGGU